UUUUAUUGGAUCUGCAAGUAUGUUCACUAGUCUUAUUAUUUCUCUAUAAGUCUAUGUUCUUAUAUUUUGAUACAAUCUUUAAUUAUUAUUUUGGGCCUAUAAAUGUUUUAAUAAAUUUUAUUAAUUUUCUUUCAAGAUUAAGGAUUUAUAUUUUUAAAUUAUUAAUUAUUUUAUAAGUUUUAAAUUUAUUAAGUUAUUAAUUAUGUAUUAAAGUUUAUGGAUUCACUCAAAAUGAUUAUUGAACUUUUAUUUUAUCAUUCGGGCAAAGUGUAUCAAUAGCUAGGAAUUUCCUAUUCUUUAGAGCUUAGAACGAUACCUCGAGACCUAUUUAAGAAUAGAUUUCUUGUAGGUUCGAGUGACUAAGGGCAGUGAAGCUUCAAGCGAGCCAAGUAUCGAAUCUCCACUUUGAGGUGGGCUUUAUUUUACAUACAAUGUAUCUUGAGUUAUAUAAGCUCUGAUAUUUCAUGAAAGUUAUUUGUUUAUCCAAUAUAAAUGUUUUUAUGUGCGUUUUGUAUUGUUUAAUGCUCGCAUAAGCAUCGAUCGAGAUUCUCAUUUGGCCUAACACGUUAGAUGAGGAUUGUGUACACAAGGUUAGUGGCUCGGUGGGUUGAUCACCAUCGUGCACUAACAAAGCUAAGCAGGCGUUAUAAGGGUGCUCCUGGACACGUUCCAAAGCACAAAUGAUGAUGUGUUCCGUCUGGGUAGCGUCCCGGGUUCACUUAAGCGGCGGUAAGUGAUCCGACGGUGAUUAAGUCCCGGGAUCAUAAGCAGCGAGUAACAAUCGAACGUCACAUGGCGCG
rnacentral:lncRNA from 1 species